UAACAGGUGAAGCUGAGCACUCUAGACGAACUGCCGUUGACAAAACGGAGGAAGGUGGGGAUGACGUCAAAUCAUCAUGCCCUUAUGUUCUGGGCUACACACGUGCUACAAUGGCCGGUACAGACGGACGCAAAGCCGCGAGGUGGAGCAAAUCCUAAAAAGCCGGUCUCAGUUCGGAUUGCAGGCUGCAAUUCGCCUGCAUGAAGUCGGAAUCGCUAGUAAUCGCAGGUCAGCAUACUGCGGUGAAUACGUUCCCGGGCCUU
rnacentral:rRNA from 1 species